ensembl:rRNA nuclear encoded rRNA 5S 95
GUCUAUAGCCAGACCGUCCUGAACACACCUGAUUUCAUCUUAUCUCGGAAGCUAAGCAGGGUUGGGCCUGCUUAGUACUUGGAUGGGAGACCCCUGUGAAUACUUGGUUCUGGGGAAG